rnacentral:lncRNA from 1 species
AAGCCAAAAUCAUGCCACCGCACUCCAGUGUGGGUGACGGAGCAAGACCCCAUCUCAAAAAAAAAGUUUCAGAUGGUCAUAGGUGUGAAAGUAUAUAAUGUAAAUAAAAUGUUUUAAAAAACAAUAUUUUUAAAAGUUGUAGCAUAGAAGUGAUGGCACCAAGCUGCCUUAGUUGAAACCAAAUCCUGGCUGUGCCGAUUAAAAAUGGUGAGGCAGGCUGGGCACAGUGGCUCACGCCUGUCAUCCCAGCACUUUGGGAGGCUGAGGCUGAGGCUGGAGGAUCACUUGAGCCCAGGAGUUUGAGACCAGCCUAGGCAACAUAGUGAGACCUCAUCUCUACAAAAAAAUUUAAAAAAUUAGCUGGGUGUGGUGGCAUGUGCCUGUAGUCCCAGCUACUCAGGAGGCUGUGGGGGAGGAUCGCUUGGGCUGGGGAGGCAGUAAGCCAUGAUCACACCACUGCACUCCAGCCUGGGUGACAGAAUAAGACCCCAUGUCAAAAAAAAAAAAAAAGAAAGGAAGGAAGAAAGGCGAGGCAAGCUCCUCAACCCUCUGGGCUUCAGUGUCAUCGCCUGCAGAGUGCUGGCCAUGGACACUUCAGGGACUCACAGUGAAGACAGCCCUUGGCCAUGUGGCAGGCACAUGGCAAACGCUGCUAACCGGGGCCAUAGUGAUUCACUUUCACAGCAGGGCUGGGAGCUGUGGCUGCACGUGCACGUGAACACAUGUGGGUAAAUGCUCCCGUCUCUCAGUGUUCCCAGCCCUUCUGCACAGAAGGUCGGGUGAGUCAAAAGGAGAAUAAUCGGUGAUCAUAAUGAUAGGAAACGAUCGAGUUUGGGGAUUGUCUCCUCCUCCUCGGGCUCGGCUGAGGAUAAAGCAGUGCAGUCGGAGUCUGCCCAAGCUGCUGCUAUAACAGGCUGGGGACUUAAACAACAGAAGUGCGUUUCUCGCAGCUGUGGAGGCUGGAAGCCUGAGAUCAAGGGGUCGGCAGGGUUGGUUCCUUCUGAUGCCUCUCUUCUUGGCUUGUCAUUUCCUCCCUGCCUCAUAUGGUCGUCUUUCUGUGCCUGCAUCCUAAUCUUUUUUUUUUCUUUUGAGACAGGGUCUCGCCCAGUCACCUAGGCUGGAGUGCAGUGGCGCAAUCUCCGCUCGCUGCAGCCCCCACCUCCCGGGUUCAAGCAAUUCUCCCACCUCAGCCUCCCAAGUAGCUGGGAUUACAGGUUCAAGGACAGCUCUCAGUCUUACCCGGGAGAAGAAACUGGGGCACCUCCUGUUUUCUCCGCUCUGCGUCUCAGCAGGGUUUGCUGAAAGGAGAGCUGCGUCUGCAAGUCCUGCACCUGUUUUGAAACAGGCCAGACUGACGCGUGCCCAGGCGGUUCCCUUGCUGGCCGUGGAAG